GAUGAACGCUGGCGGCGUGCUUAACACAUGCAAGUCGAACGGUGAAGGCGGAGCUUGCUCUGCUGGAUCAGUGGCGAACGGGUGAGUAACACGUGAGCAAUCUGCCCCUGACUCUGGGAUAAGCGCUGGAAACGGCGUCUAAUACUGGAUACGAGCUGCGAAGGCAUCUUCAGCAGCUGGAAAGAACUUCGGUCAGGGAUGAGCUCGCGGCCUAUCAGCUUGUUGGUGAGGUAACGGCUCACCAAGGCGUCGACGGGUAGCCGGCCUGAGAGGGUGACCGGCCACACUGGGACUGAGACACGGCCCAGACUCCUACGGGAGGCAGCAGUGGGGAAUAUUGCACAAUGGGCGAAAGCCUGAUGCAGCAACGCCGCGUGAGGGACGGCGGCCUUCGGGUUGUAAACCUCUUUUAGCAGGGAAGAAGCGAAAGUGACGGUACCUGCAGAAAAAGCGCCGGCUAACUACGUG
rnacentral:rRNA from 1 species